rnacentral:tRNA from 1 species
GCCUGAAUGGCUCAGUCGGUUCAGCCUCCGACUUUGGCUCGGGUCAUGAUCUCACAGCUUGUGAGUUCAAGCCCCACAUCAGGCU